UGCGCAGGCGGAACUUUAAGUCAGUGGUGAAAUCUUGCCGCUUAACGGUAAAAUUGCCAUUGAUACUGAAGUUCUUGAAUAUGGUUGAGGUAGGCGGAAUGUGUUGUGUAGCGGUGAAAUGCAUAGAUAUGACACAGAACGCCGAUUGCGAAGGCAGCUUACUAAGCCAUUAUUGACGCUGAGGCACGAAAGCGUGAGGAGCGAACAGGAUUAGAUACCCUGGUAGUCC
rnacentral:rRNA from 1 species